rnacentral:lncRNA from 1 species
CACCGCAAGCAGUCCCUCCAGUUCGCGGCCAAUCACCACUUCCAGAAAACGUUGGAGCCGCACUUGUACUUCUCCUUGCCCUCGCACUCGAUCUCGAGGUCGUCGCUGAUGAACGGCACUUUCUGCAAGGCGUAUACAGAUGAGGAUUCAGAAUUUCAGAUCAUCUGUGUGAGAGAUGAGCUAUGAAUAUGAUUGCGAUGAGGACCUUCUGCUUGGCGAGGUCCUGGCAGCCGGUGAAGUUGUAGGGGAACUGGCAGCUGCCGAACUCCACGGUGUAGGCGCGCGCGAAGUUGGCGCCGCUGGUGGCAAGCCUCUUCUUGUCGUUCAGCUCCUGACCAUCGUAGCACAAACCACAAAUGUAAUCUUGUCAGCUUUCACUUUCAGACAAAUAAAUAACAAAGCAACAAUUCUGAAAUAAAUGAAGAAACUGAUGACGACCUUGUUGGCCUUGCUCUUCUCGAGGUACUCGUCGAUGAUCCCGGCCUUGGCCGACCCGGUGGUGGCGGUGACGGCGAAGACGGCCGCCAGGCCGAGCAGCGCGGCGCGCCGGCCCUCGGCGGCCCGCUCCUUGGGCGCGACCUGCACCCGCUUCGCCGCCGAGGCGGCCUGCGGCACCGCCGCGGCGGGCUUGAGCCCGACGACGCUGGAUGAGCUCACGCCGGCCAUGACCUUCUCCUUGACUUGGUGUGGUAUGGCUGUGGCUGUGCGUGCUUGGUUGGCAGCAAGGAGAGUGGGUCGGCGAUGGUUUUGUUUUUGAUCGUGGGUGGCAGACGCUUGUGGAGGGAGAAUAGGUUGUGGUGGGCGUGUGGAUAGGGUGAGGCUGCUGCGACCCC